GAGGAACGUUCGAGUUUAGUAAGCUUCAACCCCAAGCUUAGCCCGUUUGCCGCCUACAGGAGCCGGUGUGCAAUCCUUUUUGGAGAAGGCGUCCACGCGGUACUGGGCGCGCUGGAUGAGGAAGACGUGCUGCAGGGCCCUGCCUCUGUACUGGUCCAGCCUGGGCCCCAGGUUCUACAGACUCCAGACUCCGCUUGCACCCGAGGACCCGGAAGGACAGUGUUCUCUUCCGUCGGAGAUGGCGUCCCAGUCACCCCUGCGGCACGCAGCCCCGCCCUCAGCACGCUUCUGCGCCUGCGCAGAGCUACCCAACGCCUCAGAGAAGAGCCCUAUGGCCGAAUCCCCAGGCAGCUGAGGAGGCUCAGGAAGCUCAAACAGAAUGUAUGCACAGGGAAAAAAUCUUCAAGCGGACUCCCCAGUGAGAGCAAAGCCCUUUGUGGGGCUUGAUCCAGUGACCCAUGAGAUCAUGACCUGAGCCGAAACUAAAAGUUGGGUACUCAGCCAACUGAGCCACCCAGGUUGGUCUUCAAGGAAUUCAGAAUAGCCAUAAUUGUGAUACAAUAAGAGAAGGCCUAGAAAAAAAUGCCUAUCUGAAUAGCCAUGAGCAUCACUAACAUCCAGAUUGUGACUUUGAAAUACUACUCGUUCAAAGCAGGGCUACUUGGAGGACCAACUGAGUUCUGAUCUAGAGAAAAUAAUGUUUAAGUCUUUCAAAAAGGAGCUGUCUUAGAAAGAAUCACUCCUAUUCAAAGAUGCACAGUUAUAAGAAGGUAAUCAGAAUAAGACCUAAGCAAAAAUAUCAUAACAAAAGAGGGAGCAAACAAUGAUUGUGAAAAAAGUCAAUUGAGGAACAUAAGACAAUCAAUAUUCAGCAAAACUGUCUUUCAAGAAGUAGAACAAGAUGAAAACAUGUUCUCACUAAAGAAAUGCAGGAAGAAGGAAGUGAAAGCAGUAACAACAACAACCCUUGAUCAAUUUGGAAGAAGGUCCAAUGGUGUCAGGAAAAUACCGAAAGUUGUAAAAAUAUAAGCAUUCUCUGAAAUGGUAGAAAUGAAAAAGUUUAUCAGAAGCACAUAAACUUAAAUGGUCUGAAUAUAUUAUGUAAAAUCUCUAGAUUGUGAUGUUGUGUUGAAAAGAAAAAAAGCCCAUCAGGUGUACUUGAGACGUACUAGAUAUGCAAGGAUAAAGAUUUGCUUAAAAUGAAAAGGACAGGAAAAGAUAUCCCAGGCAAACAGUAAUAACAACCAGAAAACUGGUGUCAUUAUGUUAAAAACAAACCAAACAAGCUACCUGCAAAAAACACGUCUGGAGAAAAAAAGGAGCACUUUAUAGAUCUAAAAGAUUAAAUUCACCUUGUAGGUAUCUGAGAUAUGUAUGUACUGAAAGUGAUUCCUUCAGAAUUCAUUCCGUUACACAUUAUAGUGCUACAAGAGAAACUGAAAAAAAUGUACCUUCAUAAUGAAAAGAUUGCAUAGAAAUUUCACAUGAUUUAUAGAUCAAUUAGAUAAAAUAUCAUUAGACAUAUAGAAGAUUUGAAAAAAUAACAAGCUUGAUGUAAUGGACAUAUGUAGAAUAUUGCAUUUAAUUAAUGGAAUUAUACAUUCUUUUCAAGGACAAGCAUUGCUUAUGGAAAUUGAUCAUAUAUUCUGUGACUUUUAACAUAAUUCAAAGUCAGUAUUUCACAGACUCUUCUUUCCGACCCCAGUAUUUAGUUAAAUAUCAAUAAAAAGAAGAUAAUUUACAAAAUAACUCAUCAAUUUUCAACUUCAAAGCAUUUCUAAAUGGAAAAUAUUUAGAAAUACAAAAUAAAGUCGAGAAAAGAAAUGUAUGUAUACGUUAGAAGUUCAAGGAUACACAUCACCCUUAUUCUUGUAGAGAAAAUAAUUUUGAAAAUAUUCCAUCUAACAGAGAAAUAACUAAUAAUUUUAAAAUGGAGCAAUUGUAUCAUUAAAAGACUAUUGGUAAGAGCUAAUAACAAUUAAAACAGAUUUACGCCUAAAUAAUUAUAAAGAUUCAUUUUUUGCAAUGAUUAUCUGUAUAUUAUUUUAUCAGAUCAUAAAUUUGGAAAAGAAAGUAAUAAUUUAGUUAGACAUCCAAUGCAAUUUAUUUCUAGAUAGGAAAUGACUAUUGUAUCAACUUUUCUGUCUAAGCUCCAAGAGAAUUAUAGUCUGCUGUUUGCUUACUUGAAGAGGGCUUCCUCGCGGCGAAAAUGAUCCCAGCUCAGAGAGAAAAAAAAAAAAAAGAAAAGAAAAAAAAAGUGAAAUCAUGGCCUGGAGGCUGACACUGGCAACAUAUGAGCUUGUUCAUUCAAUGAAUCAGUUAACUCAUCUGCUUAAUGUGAUUCUUUUACACAGAAGCUGAUGCAGCCAACUUGUUCGCCAGCUCAGUCCUGGUACUAUUUCCUUAUGCUCAAUUCACAGCCUUCCUUUCUCUGUGGCCCAGAUAGCAAGUAAACAUAUAUGGAAUACAAGUAGCAUGUCAUGGAAAGAGCCCUGAAGUUGGAAUAAGAAAACCUGGAUUCAAAUCUCAGCUCUUCAUGACAUUACUAAUGACCCAGGUGACGUUAUUCGUAACAGCAACACAGGUGUGAGAGAUUAAGACAAAGUGGAAGCUUCGCUUGGAAAUGGAAGUGAGAAGCAAGAGCACAGAUGUUGCAGGCUGGAAAACAAGUGAUCCCAAUGACACCAUGAUACAACAUUUGGUAAAACUGUCACUUGUCAUCCUUAAAAGAGGAUUUAAUUUAUUUAUUCAUGAGAUACACAGAGAGGCAGAGACAUAGACAGAGGGAGAAGCAAGCUUCCUGCAGCUUCCCAGGACCCCAGGAUCACAACCUGAGCCAAAGGCAGAUGCUCAACCGCUGAGCCACCCAGGCACCCCUCAGUUGUGCCCUUCAGAAAAGGAUUGUAUAUGCAUUCUCCUUUCUGUAAUCCCUCACCCUGCCUCUCUCUUUCUCCUCUCUCUCUCUCCCCCCCCUCUCUCUCUCUCCCCCCCCCCCUCUCCCUCUCUCUCUCACACACACACAUGCACAUACAUACCUGUGCCACUGGGAGAUGGUGAUGAGUACAGUAGCCACAUUGUUCUGAGUAUGGUAAAACUGAAUUGCUGGUUUUGUGUGUGUGUGUGUGUGUGUGUGUUUAAGAUUUUAUUUGUUUAGAGAGAGAAAGUGGGGGAAUGGCAGAGGAAGAGGGAGAGAGAAAGAGAAUCUCAAACAGAUGCCAUGCUGAGCAAGAAGCCCAACUCUGGGUUCUGUCAAACAACCCUGAGAUCAUGACCUGAGCCAAAACCAAGAGUCAAAACUGACUUUAACUGACUGAGCCAGCCAGGACCCCCUGAAUUGCUGGUUCUUAUUCUUACCUUAGUUAUAAAGAAGAGAGAGAAAGCAUGAAAGAGAAAAUUCUAUCCUGCCAAACACUGCUAUAUUUUGGAUAUCUUUGCUGCAGAGUUUAAAUUAAAACUACAUUAACUACUAUACAUUAAUUCAAAUGUAUAUUUUUCUUAAAAUUUUGCUGGCAUUACUCACAAAAAUUAAAUCAAAUAUUAAAACUGACUAUUCCAGGCUGGGUGCAUGUUUCAAGUAAGAAUAGUGCAAAAUAUUGAUAUUCCACAAAUUUAUAAUAAAAAUAUAAUUGUUCUCAAAUAAUUAUUUUCUAUAAAAAUUAAUUCAUUGAGUAAUGAUGCCAGUGAUCAUUAAAGUAAUUCUAAUUUCUAAUUAAUUCUAAUUUCCAUCCUGGAAAAAUAAAACAAAUUAAAGCAAUAACAAUUGAAAAACUCUUAGAUCGUUAGGUGUAUGUAAAAUUAAUGUUCAGAAUACAAAGUGCACAAAAAGAAACACAGGAUUGAUUUUAAAAUAGGAAUACAGACUUUUCUUCUCACUAUAAAACAUGAGUAAAUUCUUCCACAUUAUCAACAAAAUAAAAGCAAAACUAAAUGUGUAUUCCUCCUUUAUCCCAAAUUUGCUUAUUAAAGCAAAUUUCUUGUUUCUCAAAUCUAAGGACUAUAUGCAUCUUUUUUUCUCUUGCUCAUUUUUGUCUCUUUGGAGGAACCUGAGAAAAUCCUCACUGCCUUAUGACUAAUCGAGUGUCCAGGGUGAGAGCAAACUUGAAAUAUGAAGCCCAUGGAGUGGAGAUCAGAAGAAAAUAUUUGGCUGACUGUUCUCUUGAAAGUGAAAGGAAGUUAGUUGUAGUCACCAGAUUGGUUUUGGCUCAUGUUAUUUACUAAUGAUUAUAUUUUACCUUACCAUAGAUAGUUAGAAUUUGAACAUAAGGGAUAGUGAUAAUCAUACUGGAAUUGUAUUUUGGACAUUUGGGAAAUAUGUGAAUACUUUUAGGCCUUCAAGGAUAUCAUUGCACCAAAGCUGUGAGGUCCAGAGUCCCUGGCAACAGGUCCUUGGAGUCUGUUUUCACCUUUCUGGGUUUAAGUUACCCAGAUAAAACCAUUCUUAACAUCUUUUGUUCUUCUAAAAUUGCAUUGUUCUUUAUCUCAAUUUACUUUUGAGACAUUUAUUACUUUCUGCUUUGUAUUAUAAUGUGUGCAUGUGCAUUUUUACUAUCCUGUGUUUUAUUCGUAUUCUCUUGCUUUUUGAACAUAACAAGCACCAAUAUACUUAUUUUAAGAAUUUAUUGUCAAUAAAUCUUGAUCCUUAUUCUGCACCUUUUUGUAUUUCCACACCCUUAUUGUAUUAUUUCUACUAACCACAUACAUUUGUUUUAAAACGUUUGAAAAAUAUAAUUGACAUUUAUUCCUUUAUUCAUCUUGUUGUUCUUUAGAGCCAAAAUUAAUGCAGUAAGGAAGGAAAUUCCUCUUCCAUUCCAUAAAAAUUUUAGCACAACUUUUUAAACUAUAACCCCCUCUUUUUUUCUGUUAUCUUGUUUGAAUGUAAUCUUUCUUUUUUGAGACAUAAUUUACAUACAGCGAAAUGUAUAGAUCUUAAGUACACAGUUUGAUGUUUGGAAAAAAUCCAUGGGCCUGACUCAGAGCUCUGUCAAAGUAUGGGACAUUUCUACCAUCCCAGGGAAAGUUGCAUCAAACCCCUUCCAAAACAACCCCCUCUCUCAUCCCAGGAACAUUUACUGUCUUAAAUUCUAUCACCACUGAUUUCUCCCACCUUUAUAGGAUCCUCUGGAUUCAGAAGAUGGUGGAGGGUCUUUAAUUUUGCUCUGGCAGGCAAGUGACUUUACUGGUGUUUCAACCUUAUCAUUUUGAAUUCGAUUACAGAACAGGGAUAGUCCAGUGUUGCACUAAGCCCUGACAAUUCUGGAGUUUUGACUUAAUUGCUAGGGUGUUCAACACAGUCUCUUCCUUCUGGCUGGUGAGGUCUAUAACAUUUUUCUAGUACUGCCAUGCCCAGAUUCUCUUUUGGGUUUAUUGCUCUAGGGAACAGUGUGUCAUACCUGUGCAGAUUGUCUCUCUACGUGCCCAGCUUAGAAUUUGCACAAAGACUCAAGAUGAUUCUUCCCAAGAUUUGUAGAGUUCUCUGCCCCGCUGCCAUUUUCUGGUACUCUUCCCUGCAAAUAACAGGUGUACUUUGGUGGCGCAGAACUCCAAUCUUUGUUUCUUCUCCUCAGGGAUAUUGCUGUUCUGUGUUUAAGCUCUACUUCUUAAAUUGGAAAGUGAUCCCUAGCAGAAAGCCAGGAUGAAAAUAGAGCUCAUUUUCCGUAUUUGCUUUCUUUCAUUGAUCACAACCCUGAGUUCUCUGUUUUCCAAUUUUGUCCAGUUUUGUAGUUAUUUGCAGCAGAAUUAUAAAUCUGGUAAACAUUACUCAUUUCUGUCAGAACUGAAAGCCCCAUAAUCAGGUUAAUUUUUACUUACAUUUUUUUGGACAUCCUAUCUUGGUUAAUAUUUGCUUGAGAACUGGAAACAGUGAUUAAAUCCAAAUAUUUGGUCUACUUAAUUCUAAAUGUUAAUAUUUGAAAGAGUUGUUUGAUAGCUUUUUAACUGGGAACAACUCUAAACUCUAUUUUAACAAAAAUUUGAGGAAAAAUAAACUUAUUUUGCAUAUUUUAAAAUAAUUGAUGAGAGUUUAUUAUAUUCAGGGAUGGACUGUUAGUAGAAAUAUUAAAAUUGCCCAUGUCACAUGUAGUUUUGAUAUGCUCAUUCUUCUUCCCUUAAUGAUAAAUUACUGAUUUGAUUUGCAAUCAUCCCCCCAAAUCCCUAUAAGUGGAUAUGGUAUAUAUAUCUCUAUAAUGCAUUGUGAAUUGAGGCUGCAGAGAGGUUAUAAUUUAACCAAGGCCAAAGGACGAUUACUUUUGAAUAAUCCAUUCUGGGAUUAAAUUAAUUUUGGAGUAAAUGUUUUGGAUAAAACAUUUUUGCUGUAUUUUUCAAGAAAAACAGAUUUAAUAUAACUGCAUAAGUAUUCAAUAUGUAAAUUGGUUAUUAUUCUUCAC